GUGGCAUCUUCCAGUUGCAUUGUGUGGCCAAAUGAACAGGACCCAGUCAAACUGGCCUGGUCCAUUAGUCAGGCUCCAUGUCCAGAACCAAAGACGGGAACUGUACCCCUCCCUCUGUGAGCAGGGAGUAAAUGUCCCGGAGCGCAGUGGGGUUGGGAGGUCCAGGGGAGGACAGCGUAACCAUAGUAUCAGACAAAGCCUGUCAGAGGAACAGAACAUUAACAAGCAGAACCCAAACAUCUAUAUAUUGACAUUAACACACAUCACAACACACGUCUUACAUUUGGUGGUAGUGGUACCUCCUACCUGUUACAGGUGUGUGUGAGAGACAGGUGGUGGUAUCUCCUACCUGUUACAGGUGUGUGUGAGAGACAGGUGGUGGUAUCUCCUACCUGUUACAGGUGUGUGUGAGAGACAGGUGAUGGUGCCUCCUACCUGUUACAGGUGUGUGUGAGAGACAGGUGAUGGUGCCUCCUACCUGUUACAGGUGUGUGUGAGAGACAGGUGAUGGUGCCUCCUACCUGUUACAGGUGUGUGUGUGAGAGACAGGUGAUGGUGCCUCCUACCUGUUACAGGUCUGUGCGAGAGACAGUGAGGGUGUCUCUUACCUGUUGCAGUUGCACCUCCUGCUGCAUCAGUUCCACCCGUAGCCUUAGCCUCUCCACCUCCUGAAGCUCUGCCUGAGAGGUGUAGAUGAGGGUUGGGGGGAGUAGGGUCAGUCCACAUGGGUCCCCCCACCCGCCUCUUCUCCUGACGGUGCAGAACUCUCCAACCCCUUCCGGCCUCCUCCAGUGAUCCCAUGCCUCUGACUCU
ensembl:lncRNA